UGGUGGAGUGAUUUGUCUGGUUAAUUCCGUUAACGAACGAGACCUCAGCCUGCUAAUUAGUAUUUGCUAGACUAUCUAGUACAAAACUUCUUAGAGGGACUGUCGGUGAUUAGCCGAUGGAAGUUUGAGGCAAUAACA
rnacentral:rRNA from 1 species